rnacentral:misc_RNA from 1 species
AAGUCGUAACAAGGUCUCCGUAGGGGAACCUGCGGAGGGAUCAUUUCUAUGAGAAAUGGUGUGGGGUGGGUAUGCGUAAAAGUGUGCUCAUUUCAUAUCAAAAACAAAGUGGGUUGUGCUCUAAUAAAUAAAGUGAGGGUGGUUCUUAUCACUAAGAAUCAUCUCUUGUUUUAUUCUUAUCAACUGUGAUCAAAGGUAUUCUUAACUGAAUUUUAAAAUAACCAAAAAAAAUAGAGAUACAACUAUCAACGGCGGAUCUCUUGGUUCGU